GACGAACGCUGGCGGCGUGCCUAAUACAUGCAAGUCGAACGCAGUGGGGACGGGUGAGUAACACGUGGGUAACAUCCCAGCAGAGGGGAGAACACUUGGAAACAGGUGCAAAACCGAUACUGAUGGAUGGACCCGCGGUGCAUUAGCUGGUUGUGGGGGUAACGGCUCACCAAGGCCACGAUGCAUAGCCGGCCUGAGAGGAUGAUCGGCCACACUGGGACUGAGACACGGCCCAGACUCCUACGGGAGGCAGCAGUGGGGAAUUUUCGGCAAUGGGCGAAAGUCUGACCGAGCAACGCCGCGUGAUUGAAGAAGGUUUUCGGGUCGUAAAGCUCUUUUGUUAGAGAAGCGGUAUCUGACCAGAAAGCCCCGGCUAACUACGUGCCAGCAGCCGCGGUAAUAC
rnacentral:rRNA from 1 species